GAUGAACGCUGGCGGCGUGCCUAAUACAUGCAGGUCGAGCGAACGGACGAGAAGCUUGCUUCUCUGAUGUUAGCGGCGGACGGGUGAGUAAAACGUGGAUAACCUACCUAUAAGACUGGGAUAACUUCGGGAAACCGGAGCUAAUACCGGAUGAUAUUUUGAACCGCAUGGUUCAAAAGUGAAAGACGGUCUUGCUGUCACUUAUAGAUGGAUCCGCGCUGCAUUAGCUAGUUGGUAAGGUAACGGCUUACCAAGGCAACGAUGCAUAGCCGACCUGAGAGGGUGAUCGGCCACACUGGAACUGAGACACGGUCCAGACUCCUACGGGAGGCAGCAGUAGGGAAUCUUCCGCAAUGGGCGAAAGCCUGACGGAGCAACGCCGCGUGAGUGAUGAAGGUCUUCGGAUCGUAAAACGCUGUUAUUAGGGAAGAACAUAUGUGUAAGUAACUGUGCACAUCUUGACGGUACCUAAUCAGAAAGCCACGGCUAACUACGU
rnacentral:rRNA from 1 species